rnacentral:rRNA from 1 species
CCAGUUACUCCCGCCUGAAUGUAUAGGGCGGGUAGAGGGAACGUGGGGAAGUGAAACAUCUCAGUACCCACAGGAGAAGAAAACAAUUGUGAUUCCGUGUGUAGUGGCGAGCGAUAGCGGAUGAGGCUAAACCGUGUGCGUGUGAUACCUGGCAGGGGUUGCGUGUGCGGUGUUGUGGGGCGCAAG